ACUUGUUUUAGGGUUUUAAGUGUCCCCUUAAGGGAAUAAUAGGGAAACAGGUGUAAAACCUGUACGGUCUCGCCGCUGUGAAUGGGGAGCCUGCUCCUAGUAAGGUUUACUUACAUAUGCCACUGGAUGUUUAAAUCAUCUGGGAAGGUUGGAGAAAAGGUUAUGAUCCAUAAGUCAGAAUACCUGCUUAAAACCUGUACCAGUA
rnacentral:ncRNA from 2 species